UUGGAGGGCAAGUCUGGUGCCAGCAGCCGCGGUAAUUCCAGCUCCAAUAGCGUAUAUUAAAGUUGUUGCAGUUAAAAAGCUCGUAGUUGAAUUUCGGGGUUAGUAGAUCGGUCGUGCCACUGGUAUGUACUGGUCUCACUGAUUCCUCCUUCCUGAUGAACCGUAAUGCCAUUAAUUUGGUGUUGCGGGGAGACUGGACUGUUACUUUGAAAAAAUUAGAGUGUUUAAAGCAGGCUAACGCUUGAAUACAUUAGCAUGGGAUAACGGAAUAGGACGUUCGAUCUUAUUUUGUUGGUUUCUAAGAUUGACGUAAUGAUUAAUAGGGAUAGUUGGGGGCAUUAGUAUUCAAUUGUCAGAGGUGAAAUUCUUGGAUUUAUUGAAGACUAACUACUGCGAAAGCAUUUGCCAAGGAUGUUUUCAUUAAUCAAGAACGAAAGUUGGGGGAUCGAAGACGAUCAGAUACCGUCGUAGUCUUAACCAUAAACUAUGCCGACUAGGGAUCGGAUGAUGUUAAUUUUUUAAUGACUCAUUCGGCACCUUACGGGAAAC
rnacentral:rRNA from 1 species